rnacentral:snRNA from 1 species
GUACUUGCUUCUGCAGCACUUAACUUAGUAAGACUCAGAGAAGAUGAGCAUGGCUCCUAUGCAAAAAUGACAUGCAAAUUGGGGGGCAUUCAUCACUUUC